UGUGUAGGUGGCUGAGCAAGUCAUUGAUGAAAUCCCGAGGCUCAACCUCGGAAUUGUCUCUGAAACUGUUCAGCUUGAGGAUAUUUGAGGAAAACGGAAUUCCCGGUGGAGCGGUGAAAUGCGUAGAUAUCGGGAGGAACACCAGAGGCGAAGGCGGUUUUCUGGAAUAUUCCUGACACUGAGACACGAAAGCGUAGGGGAGCGAACG
rnacentral:rRNA from 1 species